GAUGAACGCUGGCGGCGUGCCUAAUACAUGCAAGUCGAGCGAACAGACGAGGAGCUUGCUCCUCUGACGUUAGCGGCGGACGGGUGAGUAACACGUGGAUAACCUACCUAUAAGACUGGGAUAACUUCGGGAAACCGGAUCUAAUACCGGAUAAUAUAUUGAACCGCAUGGUUCAAUAGUGAAAGACGGUUUUGCUGUCACUUAUAGAUGUAUCCGCGCCGCAUUAGCUAGUUGGUAAGGUAACGGCUUACCAAGGCAACGAUGCGUAGCCGAGCUGAGAGGGUGAUCGGCCACACUGGAACUGAGACACGGUCCAGAAUCCUACGGGAGGCAGCAGUAGGGAAUCUUCCGCAAUGGGCGAAAGCCUGACGGAGCAACGCCGCGUGAGUGAUGAAGGUCUUCGGAUCGUAAAACUCUGUUAUUAGGGAAGAACAAAUGUGUAAGUAACUAUGCACGUCGUGACGGUACCUAAUCAGAAAGCCACGGCUAACUACGUG
rnacentral:rRNA from 1 species